rnacentral:rRNA from 1 species
GUAGGUGGCAAGCGUUGUCCGGAAUUAUUGGGCGUAAAGCGCGCGCAGGCGGUUCUUUAAGUCUGAUGUGAAAGCCCACGGCUCAUCCGUGGAGGGUCAUUGGAAACUGGAGAACUUGAGUACAGAAGAGGAAAGCGGAAUUCCACGUGUAGCGGUGAAAUGCGUAGAGAUGUGGAGGAACACCAGUGGCGAAGGCGGCUUUCUGGUCUGUAACUGACGCUGAGGCGCGAAAGCGUGGGGGGAGCAAACAGGAUUAGAUACCCUGGUAGUCCACGCCGUAAACCGAUGAGUGCUAAGUGUUAGGGGGUUUUCCGCCCCCCCCUUAGUGCUGCAGCUAACGCAUUAAGCACUCCGCCUGGGAGUACGGCCGCAAGGCUG